rnacentral:rRNA from 1 species
UACGGGGGGGGCAAGCGUUGUUCGGAAUUACUGGGCGUAAAGGGCUCGUAGGUGGCCAACUAAGUCAUACGUGAAAUCCCUCGGCUUAACUGGGGAACUGCGUCUGAUACUGGUUGGCUUGAGUGCAGGAGAGGAAUGCGGAAUUCCAGGUGUAGCGGUGAAAUGCGUAGAUAUCUGGAGGAACACCGGUGGCGAAGGCGGCAUUCUGGACUGCAACUGACACUGAAGAACGAAAGCCAGGGGAGCAAACGGG